UACAGGUGCUUGAGUGAUAGUCAAAUCUCCAUAUACCAAUCAUGGAGCAGAGGUGCUAUGAGAGAUUCCUAACUCCUGAAAAACUGUGACAAAGGAUUAGAAGUUUUAAGAUAUGUGAAAAUGGUUGAACCAUCUACAAGAACUCUAAAAAUCCAAAGAAGAAAUGUAGAUGAGGAAAAUCAAGUGGACUAUUACACUGAAAUAAGACUCACUAUUGAUGAUGAUAAAGAUAGAUAAAAAAUGGAAUAAUGAGAAAAAUAACUGGAAACACUAAGGACCGUAAAAUGCAAUGGAUGAUCCAGCAGUAUACAAGUUUGGGAGCGUGAUGUUAGAAAUUUGUAAAAACUUGAGAAUGGAAGAUUUGGGGACAAUCUUCAAAUAUAUUAAAUAAAUUCCCUCAAUGUUGUCAAGAUGGAAAUGUUCCUCUGGGAUCACUGUCUGUAACAGCCACU
rnacentral:lncRNA from 10 species